AUGCUGGCUUUAGCAACAAAUAUAUUAAAACUGGAAUGACGGAGAUUAGCAUGGCCCCUGCACAAGGAUGGUUCAGAUUCCAUACUUUUUAAGUAUAU
rnacentral:snRNA from 1 species